UGCUGCAGUGCUGAAGGCUUCCCUGUGGCUUAUGUCUGGGUUGCUUGCUUUAAUCCUUCGUAUCUCUUCCCUAAGACAACACAUGCACCAUUUCAAUACUAGUUUGUAUAAAACUAAAUUUUUUGUACUUAGAAAUAAACCAUAGUACAACAUACACCCUUCUCUAAUUUCCAAAGUAUAAGUUGUUUUAGUUUUGUCCUAACUCAAAGAUUCUUUAACUUUGACCAAGUUUAUGAAAAACUACAUAAGCAUCUAUACCGUACCAAACGAAAUUCAUUAGAUAUACCAUGGAACAUAUUUUGGUAAAACAUAUUUCAUUAGAUACACUAUGGAAUAUAUUUUGAUAGUGUAUUUAUUUGGUAUUGUAGAUGCGCUAUGUAUCAUACUUUCUAUAAACUUGGUCAAAGCUAGAUAAGUUUGACUUAGGACAAAACUAAAAUAACCUACAAUUUAAAUUGGAGGGAGUAUAUAAUAGAAAUGAAAUUAGAUCGGUCCAACUCACUUAAUAAAUCUGUUAUAUGCUGAAGGAACACGUUGCCUCUUCUCUGGAGCUGUUGUUUAUUGCAAACACCAGACACAUGAAGUUAUUAGGACAUACUAGAUAUGCAUAUUUUUAUAAAACUCUCUUUGUUAAAAAAAUAUAAUAGAGUUAAAUAAUAGU
rnacentral:lncRNA from 1 species